AAGUAGAGGACAGUGGCGGACGGGUGAGUAACGCGUGAGGAACCUGCCUUCCAGAGGGGGACAACAGUUGGAAACGACUGCUAAUACCGCAUGACACAUAGAGAUCGCAUGGUUUUUAUGUCAAAGAUUUAUCGCUGAAAGAUGGCCUCGCGUCUGAUUAGCUAGUUGGUGAGGUAACGGCCCACCAAGGCGACGAUCAGUAGCCGGACUGAGAGGUUGACCGGCCACAUUGGGACUGAGAUACGGCCCAGACUCCUACGGGAGGCAGCAGUGGGGAAUAUUGGGCAAUGGGCGCAAGCCUGACCCAGCAACGCCGCGUGAAGGAAGAAGGCUUUCGGGUUGUAAACUUCUUUUGUCGGGGACGAGUAGAAGACGGUACCUGGCGAAUAAGCCACGGCUAACUACGUGCCAGCAGCCGCGGUAAUACGUAGGUGGCAAGCGUUGUCCGGAUUUACUGGGUGUAAAGGGCGUGUAGCCGGGAAGGCAAGUCAGAUGUGAAAUCCACGGGCUUAACUCGUGAACUGCAUUUGAAACUGUUUUUCUUGAGUAUCGGAGAGGCAAUCGGAAUUCCUAGUGUAGCGGUGAAAUGCGUAGAUAUUAGGAGGAACACCAGUGGCGAAGGCGGAUUGCUGGACGAC
rnacentral:rRNA from 1 species